rnacentral:SRP_RNA from 1 species
GCUAGGCAUGGUGGCUCAUGCCUGUAAUCCCAACACUUUGGGAGGCUGAGGUGGGUGGAUCACCUGAGGUCAGGAGUUUGAGACUAGCCUGGCCGACAUGGUGAAACCCCAUCUCUA